GCUGCCCCCAGAGGCAUUGAUGGUGUUGCUGCUUUGCCACAUGUGUAGUAAGUGGCAGAGAAGAGAGAAGCUAUGUCUAUCCUCAGUGUUCUGACCUGUCAACAUCUGAAUGAUUAUCUGUCUAACAUU